UACGUAGGGUGCGAGCGUUAAUCGGAAUUACUGGGCGUAAAGCGUGCGCAGGUGGUUUUUUAAGUCAGACGUGAAAUCCCCGGGCUUAACCUGGGAACUACGUUUGAAACUGGAAGACUAGAGUGUGGCAGAGGGGGGUGGAAUUCCUGGUGUAGCAGUGAAAUGCGUAGAGAUCAGGAGGAACACCGAUGGCGAAGGCAGCCCCCUGGGCUAACACUGACGCUCAUGCACGAAAGCGUGGGGAGCAAAC
rnacentral:rRNA from 1 species